rnacentral:rRNA from 1 species
GACGAACGCUGGCGGCGUGCUUAACACAUGCAAGUCGAGCGAUGAAGUUCCUUCGGGAAUGGAUUAGCGGCGGACGGGUGAGUAACACGUGGGUAACCUGCCUCAUAGAGGGGAAUAGCUUUUCGAAAGGAAGAUUAAUACCGCAUAAGAUUGUAGUAUCGCAUGAUACAGCAAUUAAAGGAGUAAUCCGCUAUGAGAUGGACCCGCGUCGCAUCAGCUAGUUGGUGAGGUAACGGCUCACCAAGGCGACGAUGCGUAGCCGACCUGAGAGGGUGCGCGGCCACAUUGGGCCUGGGACGCGGCCCAGAGUCCUACGGGAGGCAGCAGUGGGGAAUAUUGCACAGUGGGGGAAACCCUGAUGCAGCACCGCCGCGUGAGUGAUGACGGUCUUCGGAUUGUAAAACUCUGUCUUCAGGGACGAUAAUGACGGUACCUGAGGAGGAAGCCACGGCUAACUACGUGCCAGCAGCCGCCGUAA